ensembl:lncRNA
CGGAAUGCCAUUUUAUUUUCCCUAAAUGAAUGAAUAAAAUCAGUCAGCCAGGAAAAAGAAACAGUACAGCACUUGCACGCUGUCCUUCCUCUCCUGCACUUCUUUGCUUCAAGCACAAACUGCAUGCUGGUGCCCAAACGCACCUAAAGGAGGUGGAUGCAGAAGUACUGCUGCAAAUGCACCAAGAGCCAUGUCCCUCUGCCAGCUGGCCUGCACCAGGCAGGUGCAAGGAGCCGGCGAAGCAUCGAGGUCUUUGCUGCUCUCUCCCCUCCUUUGCCAGCUGGGAAGAGGGAGCAUGGCGUGGAGGGGAGGGAAGGCAGCAGGCCUGGCACUUGGCUGUGUUCCAGCUGAGCAGCCUGCCAGGAACAAGCAACCAGCCCACACCCUGUGGAGGCCCGCUGGCCAUCGCUGCUCCACUGAGCUGCCCACCUGCCCCAGCGGUGCAGGACCAAGAAUGAGAACUGCAUCAAACUCACUUCUAAGUAAACUGAAUUAAAUAGCAGGAGUGGGAGCCUGGAACAGCUUCCUGUGAUCAGAGCACUUAGCCAGCAUCACUGCCGAUAAGGAAGCACGAGCAGCGCUGCUUUUUAUUCUCUCUUUGUGGGUUUGAUCUUAUUAUAGAAAACAAAUUUACCAAGCAUGAAUUACCACUGAAAUUCUUAAUGCUUUGGCAAAGAAGAAAAGUCAGAUAUGGAUGCUGGCAAAUGCACAUGGCUGCUAGCGAGAAUGCCUCUCCUCUGCACACUUUUGUCUCCCAACUUUCAGCUAGGAGCUGCUGUGCGAAUUAUUUCAAAAGAUGGGCUGCAGAAAAAGGAUCAAUUAAUCUGCCGAGAGAAUUUCAGAAUCCAUUCUCAAUGCCGCUGAUAGCCGGAGACCCCCUCCCUGCGCUUGGGGCUGCAACCAUACUACUGUAGUCUGAAGAGAAACCAGAGGGUGACAGGCAUUAGGAGCACUGCUGUGUGUAUCUCACAUAGGGCAACCAAGACAUUACGACUUCAUGAAGACCCUGCAGAGCACACCUGCUUCAGAACCCCCUGAUGAAUACCAUCUGGUUCAAGUGAUUUACUACACUUGCAUUUCAUGAGCUGCGCCGCGACAUCCCAAAUUAAGACAAGGAAAAUAUAGUCUGUGUUUCAGGAAAAUCUUUCUGACAGAUCUAUUAGGCUAUGGAGUAAUCUUUCAGUGGGAGUCUCAUUGUCUGAGACAUUUAUAGCAAGACUGGACAAAGCACUGGUAAAAUAUACUGCAGGGGACAAUUCUGCAUUAACAGAAGGGUAGUCUAGAUAUAUGGCUUUGAAAUUGAGCUGGUCAGAAAAAAAUUUAAGUGAACCAUUUUCUGUCAGAAAAUAUGGUUCUGACAAAACUAAAUAUACUUUGUUGAACCAAUGAUUUUGCUGACCAUUAUUUCAGAGAGAGAAAAAAAAGGGGAAUUUUAAUGUCAAAGUGUCAUACAGAAGUUUUUUUUCUGAAUAAAGAAUUUCAUUACUUUCCCAUCAAACAUUUUUGAAAUUCCAUUCCUGUACUACAGAAGUCAAUUUGAAAACAAAAUAUUCUGAAUAACCCCAAAUUUCUAUUCUUCCCUCCAGAACUGUACUUCCUAGAGUAGUACUGAAAUGAUCAAUUUUGUUGCAGUCAAAAAUUAAAGCAAAUUAGAAAUAUCCUCUGUCUUCACCACUGAGUAUUGCCUUCCAACAUGUUUCUGAAAGUUCUCCAUGGCAAAUAUUGCCUCUUUAUGCUCCAAGUCUUUGAUUCAUUUCACUGCAUUUGUCCUCUCCCUAUGUCAUUUCAGUGCUUAGUGUCUCAGCUCUUUCUGGAUUAAAAGGAGGAGAGGAAUGUGCAUUUUUCUCUGAGAAGCAGAACUGAAAGUCAGUUCAUGACAGCUUAUAUUUUAAUAGCAAAUAUCUUCCUCAUUCCCUGUGGAGUGGUUUCUUUAUUGCCCUCAGGUUGCUUUGCAGUUUGGUUCUGCUUUCACUGAUGUGCUUUAUCCUUCUUGCUAUAAUAUAAUUGGAAAACUUAAUCAUGGUUGAAAUCACUCUAAAGACAGACGUGGAAAAGCAGUCCAACUCUGAGGGAGACAGGAUUUUUUUUAAAGCUUGGCUGGUGACAAAAUUUCCUGGAAACCCUUCUACCCUCUUCAGGAGUAGGAGACAAGGUUUCUUAUAUUAAAAAAAAUAAUCUUUCAAAAGUUUCAAAGCCUGCUGUUUAUUUUUGAUGUCCUGGGAUAUGGCUGAGUUUAAUAGCUUUGAAAACUACUGUCCUCAGAAGCAGAAAGUGACUAUAUUUGAAGGCUGCUUCAACUUUCUAAAGAAGCCUUCUGAAAGUGUCCUCCUACUUCUGUUGGAACUUGCCUUCUGUUUAGUCACCGUUUGAAGCCUAAUAUCUUCUACAAGCUAGAACAUGAAUUUGCAAAAAGAAAACACUUCUGUACUCCCACUUAGAUGUCUCCCACAGUGUUUUUCUUUUCUCAUGAAAAUUCUCUCUUCUGCUACCAAUGGAAAAUUACCUUCGCUGUCUCAAUUGAGCCCUGGAUGCAUCCCACACACAUCUUGCCUCUUUGAAGAUUAUCAGAAAGACAGGAAGGUUUCCUUCCCACUUUCUGGGAUUCAUCUGUGAUCCCACUGGUGACUGGAAGAGUGAAGUGUUCCCAUCUCCAUCUGCAGAACCGAGACUACAGUUGUUAUAGAAUAUUUUUGUCCCAGAUGGAAAGCAAAGUUGAGGUAUUCUCAUUC